CCUCCGAUAGCUCAAUUGGUAGAGCGCUCAGUUACUCUCUAAGAGAUGCUGGUUCGAAUCCAGCUCGGAGGA
rnacentral:tRNA from 1 species